ensembl:miRNA
AGGUGGGAGGAUCACUUGAGCCUGGGAGAUGGAGGUUGCAGUGAGCUGAGAUCACACCACUGCACACCAACCUGGG